rnacentral:rRNA from 1 species
UACGAAGGGGGCUAGCGUUGUUCGGAUUUACUGGGCGUAAAGCGCACGUAGGCGGUUCGGUCAGUCAGGGGUGAAAUCCCAGGGCUCAACCCUGGAACUGCCUUUGAUACUGUCGAUCUGGAGUAUGGAAGAGGUGAGUGGAAUUCCGAGUGUAGAGGUGAAAUUCGUAGAUAUUCGGAGGAACACCAGUGGCGAAGGCGGCUCACUGGUCCAUUACUGACGCUGAGGUGCGAAAGCGUGGGGAGCAAACAGG